rnacentral:tRNA from 1 species
UGUUCUGUGGCUUAGUUAUGGUUAAAGCGCCGGACUUGCAAUCCGGAUCGUAGGUUCGAGUCCCACUAAAACAU